UACGUAGGGGGCAAGCGUUGUUCGGAAUUACUGGGCGUAAAGGGCGCGUAGGCGGCCGCGCAAGUCGGGAGUGAAAGCCCGGGGCUCAACCCGGAACGGCUUUCGAAACUGCGAGGCUCGAGUGCGGAAGAGGCAACUGGAAUUCCCAGUGUGAGCGGUGAAAUGCGUAGAUAUGGGGAGGAACACCGGUGGCGAAGGCGGCCACCUGGACGGUAACUGACGCUGAGACGCGAAGGCAGGGAGCAAACGGG
rnacentral:rRNA from 1 species